rnacentral:rRNA from 1 species
GACGAACGCUGGCGGCGCGCCUAACACAUGCAAGUCGAACGAGCGAGAGAGAGCUUGCUUUCUCGAGCGAGUGGCGAACGGGUGAGUAACGCGUGAGGAACCUGCCUCAAAGAGGGGGACAACAGUUGGAAACGACUGCUAAUACCGCAUAAGCCCACGGUGCCGCAUGGCACCGAGGGAAAAGGAGCAAUCCGCUUUGAGAUGGCCUCGCGUCCGAUUAGCUAGUUGGUGAGGUAAUGGCCCACCAAGGCGACGAUCGGUAGCCGGACUGAGAGGUUGAACGGCCACAUUGGGACUGAGACACGGCCCAGACUCCUACGGGAGGCAGCAGUGGGGAAUAUUGCACAAUGGGGGAAACCCUGAUGCAGCGACGCCGCGUGGAGGAAGAAGGUCUUCGGAUUGUAAACUCCUGUUGUUGGGGAAGAUAAUGACGGUACCCAACAAGGAAGUGACGGCUAACUACGUG